AAAUUGAAGAGUUUGAUCAUGGCUCAGAUUGAACGCUGGCGGCAGGCCUAACACAUGCAAGUCGAACGGUAACAGGAAGAAGCUUGCUUCUUUGCUGACGAGUGGCGGACGGGUGAGUAAUGUCUGGGAAACUGCCCGAUGGAGGGGGAUAACUACUGGAAACGGUAGCUAAUACCGCAUAACGUCGCAAGACCAAAGAGGGGGACCUUCGGGCCUCUUGCCAUCGGAUGUGCCCAGAUGGGAUUAGCUUGUUGGUGAGGUAACGGCUCACCAAGGCGACGAUCCCUAGCUGGUCUGAGAGGAUGACCAGCCACACUGGAACUGAGACACGGUCCAGACUCCUACGGGAGGCAGCAGUGGGGAAUAUUGCACAAUGGGCGCAAGCCUGAUGCAGCCAUGCCGCGUGUAUGAAGAAGGCCUUCGGGUUGUAAAGUACUUUCAGCGGGGAGGAAGGGAGUAAAGUUAAUACCUUUGCUCAUUGACGUUACCCGCAGAAGAAGCACCGGCUAACUCCGUGCCAGCAGCCGCGGUAAUACGGAGGGUGCAAGCGUUAAUCGGAAUUACUGGGCGUAAAGCGCACGCAGGCGGUUUGUUAAGUCAGAUGUGAAAUCCCCGGGCUCAACCUGGGAACUGCAUCUGAUACUGGCAAGCUUGAGUCUCGUAGAGGGGGGUAGAAUUCCAGGUGUAGCGGUGAAAUGCGUAGAGAUCUGGAGGAAUACCGGUGGCGAAGGCGGCCCCCUGGACGAAGACUGACGCUCAGGUGCGAAAGCGUGGGGAGCAAACAGGAUUAGAUACCCUGGUAGUCCACGCCGUAAACGAUGUCGACUUGGAGGUUGUGCCCUUGAGGCGUGGCUUCCGGAGCUAACGCGUUAAGUCGACCGCCUGGGGAGUACGGCCGCAAGGUUAAAACUCAAAUGAAUUGACGGGGGCCCGCACAAGCGGUGGAGCAUGUGGUUUAAUUCGAUGCAACGCGAAGAACCUUACCUGGUCUUGACAUCCACGGAAGUUUUCAGAGAUGAGAAUGUGCCUUCGGGAACCGUGAGACAGGUGCUGCAUGGCUGUCGUCAGCUCGUGUUGUGAAAUGUUGGGUUAAGUCCCGCAACGAGCGCAACCCUUAUCCUUUGUUGCCAGCGGUCCGGCCGGGAACUCAAAGGAGACUGCCAGUGAUAAACUGGAGGAAGGUGGAGAUGACGUCAAGUCAUCAUGGCCCUUACGACCAGGGCUACACACGUGCUACAAUGGCGCAUACAAAGAGAAGCGACCUCGCGAGAGCAAGCGGACCUCAUAAAGUGCGUCGUAGUCCGGAUUGGAGUCUGCAACUCGACUCCAUGAAGUCGGAAUCGCUAGUAAUCGUGGAUCAGAAUGCCACGGUGAAUACGUUCCCGGGCCUUGUACACACCGCCCGUCACACCAUGGGAGUGGGUUGCAAAAGAAGUAGAUAGCUUAACCUUCGGGAGGGCGCUUACCACUUUGUGAUUCAUGACUGGGGUGAAGUCGUAACAAGGUAACCGUAGGGGAACCUGCGGUUGGAUCACCUCCUUA
rnacentral:rRNA from 1 species